rnacentral:lncRNA from 1 species
CAUGACAUAGCAGUUGGUCAAUUCUCCUGCUUGGUUUCCAAAAUUCUGACCGUGGGUCACCACUGACACAAACUAACGUCUAUCUGUAAGAAAUGAGAAAGAGGCAAUUGGAAAGGAGAAAAAGAGGGGACAGAUUGAGCAGAGAGGGUUCCCACAGCAAACUGUUCCUUGCUUGGAGUCAAGCAACUCUUAGAACGCAGACAGCAAAGACAAAAAGAAUCCGGUGAAAAUGCACCUUUUGCGUCCUCAAUACACGGCACAGACGGCGACAGGGAGGGGCAGAAGAUGCAGCUAAGGCUGUGCCUCACAGCUCAGAGAUGCUCAGGGCUGGAUACCGACUUGGAUCUCCUACCUCAGAUGGAAGCAAAUUUCCUUGUGAUGUUCCAGAAAGAAGCGUACCGCCAGAAAUUAUCAUAACACUUCCUACACCGGGAGCUGGAGGUUUUUUUACAGUAGGCCCUGCCCACCAGGGAAAAUAAACCAGAACAAGGAGAACGAAAUUCCCUUCCCACACACGAGUGAUAAUGAAAACAAACUAUCUACAAGGAAGCUCAGACAAGGAGUGUGCUACAGACCAGGCAUCAACUGAAAACAAAUUUCUUAUUCAGGAAAAUGUGAGUAAGAAUCUGCAGUGAGUAAAUUUUGCACUUUGCAUAAAAACGAAAUUAAAUCUU